ACCAAUUCUGGGGGUAAAUACAAUACCUCCUGGUAUAAUGGCUUGGAACGCUAUAUAUAUUUUUUGUGGCUAUUAUCCUGAUUGAUGGCUUUUCUCAGUGCCAUUAGAUCGUGGAAACACCACAUACAUAC